rnacentral:rRNA from 1 species
GAUGAACGCUGGCGGCGUGCUUAACACAUGCAAGUCGAACGGUGAAGCAGGAGCUUGCUCCUGUGGAUCAGUGGCGAACGGGUGAGUAACACGUGAGCAAUCUGCCCUGGACUCUGGGAUAAGCGUUGGAAACGACGUCUAAUACCGGAUACGAGGCGUGGGGGCAUCCCCAACGCCUGGAAAGAACUUCGGUCCAGGAUGAGCUCGCGGCCUAUCAGGUAGUUGGUGAGGUAACGGCUCACCAAGCCUACGACGGGUAGCCGGCCUGAGAGGGUGACCGGCCACACUGGGACUGAGACACGGCCCAGACUCCUACGGGAGGCGGCAGUGGGGAAUAUUGCACAAUGGGCGCAAGCCUGAUGCAGCAACGCCGCGUGAGGGACGACGGCCUUCGGGUUGUAAACCUCUUUUAGCAGGGAAGAAGCGAAAGUGACGGUACCUGCAGAAAAAGCACCGGCUAACUACGUGCCAGCAGCCGCCGCCGUAA